UACAGAGGUCUCAAGCGUUGUUCGGAUUCAUUGGGCGUAAAGGGUGGUGUAGGUGGCGCGCUAAGUCGGGUGUGAAAUUUCGGAGCUUAACUCCGAAACUGCAUUCGAUACUGGCGUGCUUGAGGACUGGAGAGGAGACUGGAAUUCAUGGUGUAGCAGUGAAAUGCGUAGAGAUCAUGAGGAAGACCAGUGGCGAAGGCGGGUCUCUGGACAGUUCCUGACACUGAGACACGAAGGCCAGGGGAGCAAACGGG
rnacentral:rRNA from 1 species